rnacentral:rRNA from 1 species
AACGAACGCUGGCGGCAUGCCUAACACAUGCAAGUCGAACGAGCCCUUCGGGUCUUUUGGCCCAUGGCUGUGUAACCCGUGGGAACCUGCCCUUAUGUUCGGAAUAACUCCCCGACAGGGGUGCUAAUACCGGACAAUGUCUUCUGCCCAAAGAUUUAUUGCCUUUGGUUGUUCCCGCGUUGGAUUAGCUGGUUCUUACGGUAAAAGCCUACCACGGCGAGCAUCCAUAGCUGGUCAGAGAGGAAGAUCAGCCACACUGGGAGGGGGACCCGGCCCAGACUCCUACGGGAAGCGGCAGUGGGGGAUAGUGGAACAUGGGGGAAGGGAUGAUGCAGCAAUGCCGCGUGAGUGAUGAAAGCAGGGAGGUUGUAAAGCUCUUUUACCCGGGAUGAUAAUGACAGUACCGGGAGAAUAAGCUCCGGCUAACUACGUG